GAAGCACAGGGUAAUGUAGCAGGGGCACAAAUCACACAGAAUCCUAUCACCCACACCAUCACACCAGCGCACUUGGUACCUCUUAACAUCAGGAAGGACAUAUUAGAGGGGAAAGAUGUCAACCUAAUCUCCCUAUUGAUAGCGUCGCAAGACGUGGUGGAAAAUAAGAUCUAUAGCUAUGGGGACUUAUCAGUAGUAAUGAAAGCUAGAGAUCCCAGACUAAAUAAAAA